GACGAACGCUGGCGGCGUGCUUAACACAUGCAAGUCGAACGGAAAGGCCCUGCUUGCAGGGUACUCGAGUGGCGAACGGGUGAGUAACACGUGGGUGAUCUGCCCUGCACUUCGGGAUAAGCCUGGGAAACUGGGUCUAAUACCGGAUAGGAGCCAUUUUUAGUGUGAUGGUUGGAAAGUUUUUUCGGUGUAGGAUGAGCUCGCGGCCUAUCAGCUUGUUGGUGGGGUAAUGGCCUACCAAGGCGGCGACGGGUAGCCGGCCUGAGAGGGUGGACGGCCACAGUGGGACUGAGAUACGGCCCAGACCCCUACGGGAGGCAGCAGUGGGGAAUAUUGCACAAUGGGCGCAAGCCUGAUGCAGCGACGCCGCGUGGGGGAUGACGGCCUUCGGGUUGGAAACUCCCUUCGCUAGGGACGAAGCUUUUUGUGACGGUACCUAGAUAAGAAGUACCGGCUAACUACGUG
rnacentral:rRNA from 1 species